UACGUAGGUGACCAGCGUUGUCCGGAUUUACUGGGCGUAAAGAGCGCGCAGGCGGUCGUUCAAGUCGAGUGUGAAAGCCCCCGGCUCAACUGGGGAGGGUCACUUGAUACUGAUCGACUCGAAGGCAGGAGAGGGAAGCGGAAUUCCCGGUGUAGUGGUGAAAUGCGUAGAGAUGUGGAGGAACACCAGUGGCGAAGGCGGCUUUCUGGUCUGUAACUGACGCUGAGGCGCGAAAGCGUGGGGAGCAAACAGG
rnacentral:rRNA from 1 species